ACACUUUUAGCUUCUUCAGGUUCCCAAGCGUGUCGGGGAUUCGUCCAGCGGCUUUGGUGCCGGAGAUUCUCAGCGUUUCCAAGCUGGUAAGCUUUCCAAUCUCAACAGGUAUACUGCUGCUGACGAGCGUGUUGGAAAUGUCCAGGAAACGCAGCUUGGGGAGGUUGCCGAGAGAUGGAGGAAUGGAACCAGAAAACUUGGUACCACUCAAGUCGAGAUACUCCAGGUUUUGAAGGCCGCCGAGAAACGCCGGUAUGGACC
rnacentral:lncRNA from 1 species